rnacentral:rRNA from 1 species
CUGCCUUAAAGUGGGACAUAGCUAGCCGAAAGGUUGGGUAAUUUCCCAUGUGAACGUAAGUUUAAAGCCGCAAGGCGCUUUAAGAUGAGUCUGCGUCCUAUCAGCUAGUUGGUGGGGUAACGGCCUACCAAGGCGACGACGGGUAGCUGGUCUGAGAGGAUGGUCAGCCACAAUGGCACUGAGACACGGGCCAUACACCUACGGGUGGCAGCAACUGGGAAUAUUCGGCAAUGGGCGAAAGCCUGACCGAGCGACGCCGCGUGGAGGAUUGAAGGCCUUAGGGUCGUAAACUCCUUUUGCGAGGGAAGAUUAUGACGGUACCUCGCGAAUAAGCAUCUGCUAACUACGUGCCAGAAGCCUCGGUAAUACGUAGGAUGCGAGCAUUAUCCGGAUUUAUUGGGCGUAAAGAGUUGCGUAGGCUGAAUAACGCAUUCUGCUUGAAAGCCCGUGGCCUAACCACGGUUUUGGGCAGAAGAUGGUUAUUCUAGAUGGUAAGAGAGGGUACUGGAACCGACUGUGUAGCAGUGAAAUGCGUUGAUAUAGUCGGGAACACCGAAGGCGUAGGCAGGUACCUAUCUUACUCAUGACGCUGAGGCACG